GUCAGGUAGCCUGCAUACUAGCCAGCGGUCUGUUUACUCCUGAGAGCAGAAGUAGGAAGCGUAAGAGUCUGAACUGGAAGUGGUGAGCGUAAGAGCCUGAACUCCGGCGCACAGCAUACGCCAUUACCAAACGUUGCUGAUUGGUUAAGGGAACUCCAAUGAUUUUAAACCUCAAAAUAAGCAUCCGCCCAUUACGGAGACAGAUUAUUAUUACAUUGUUCCAGACUGUAUGACGAAGAGAAACAUAGUCACAGGCGGUAAGGACCAGGCUACAAAUCUUCCAGAGGGCUGAAAAUAUUUUAUUUUUUUAUUGUCCUGCAUAGGAGAUCUCAGACCUGACUGAACAGCUGGGUGAGACUGGAAAGAGCAUUUAUGAGCUGGAGAAGGCCAAGAAGGCUGUUGAGACUGAGAAGCUCGAGAUCCAGACUGCCUUGGAAGAGGCUAAGGCUGCCAUGAUGACCGAGGAGCUAAAGAAGGAGCAGGACACCAGUGCUCGAGGAUGAAGAAGAACCUGGAGGUCACUGUCAAGGAUCUGCAGCGCCGUCUGGAUGAGGCCGAGAAUCUGGCCAUGAAGGGUGGCAAGAAACAGCUCCAGAAACUGGAGUCCAGGGUUUGUGAGCUGGAAGGCGAGCUUGAGACUGAACAGAGACUUGGUGUUCAUGCUGUUAAGGGAGUCUGAGUAACAAGCUAACACCCACCUGGCCAAGUGCAGGAAGGUGCAGCAUGAGCUGGAGGAGGCUGAGGAGCGUGCUGAUAUUGGUGAGGUUGUCCCAUGUCAACAAGCACAGGGCCAAGAGCCGUGAUGGUGGAA